rnacentral:rRNA from 1 species
AUUGAACGCUGGCGGAAUGCUUUACACAUGCAAGUCGAACGGCAGCACGGACUUCGGUCUGGUGGCGAGUGGCGAACGGGUGAGUAAUGUAUCGGAACGUGCCCAGUCGUGGGGGAUAACGUAGUGAAAAUUACGCUAAUACCGCAUACGAUCUAUGGAUGAAAGCGGGGGAUCGCAAGACCUCGCGCGAUUGGAGUGGCCGAUAUCAGAUUAGGUAGUUGGUGGGGUAAAGGCCCACCAAGCCAACGAUCUGUAGCUGGUCUGAGAGGACGCCCAGCCACACUGGAACUGAGACACGGUCCAGACUCCUACGGGAGGCAGCAGUGGGGGAUUUUGGACAAUGGGCGAAAGCCUGAUCCAGCCAUUCCGCGUGCAGGAUGAAGGCCCUCGGGUUGUAAACUGCUUUUGUACAGAACGAAAAGGUUUCUACUAAUACUAGGAGCUCAUGACGGUACUGUAAGAAUAAGCACCGGCUAACUACGUGCCAGCAGCCGCCGUAA